rnacentral:lncRNA from 1 species
GUUGAAGUAGUUUCCAGAAACCAGGGUUCAAAAAAGGACAUCAUCACUCCUGGGAUGGUGACAUGCUAAUACUGUGUCUCCUGCUCUUCCUACAGCUCGACCAUUAUCCUGCUGUGGGUUACCAUCUACCCAGCUCCUCUGAUACGCUCUUCAAUUCUCCCAAGUCGCUCUUCCUUGGAAAAGUUAUAGUACUCGUCAGUCCCUCCGGAACAUCUAUCUUAAAGAAAAUACACUGUUCGGAGGAAAGGAGCUCUAAAUAUAUGUCUUAA